CUUUACUGCUCAGUAACACGUGGAUAACCUGCCCUCGGGUCCGGCAUAACCCCGGGAAACUGGGGAUAAUUCCGGAUAACGCACAUAUGCUGGAAUGCUUUAUGCGUCAAAUGGAUUCGUCCGCCCAAGGAUGGGUCUGCGGCCUAUCAGGUAGUAGUGGGUGUAAUGUACCUACUAGCCAACAACGGGUACGGGUUGUGUGAGCAAGAGCCCGGAGAUGGAUUCUGAGACAUGAAUCCAGGCCCUACGGGGCGCAGCAGGCGCGAAAACUUUACAAUGCGGGAAACCGUGAUAAGGGGACACCGAGUGCCAGCAUCAUAUGCUGGCUGUCCGGGUGUGUAAAAUACACCUGUUAGCAAGGGCCGGGCAAGACCGGCGCCAGCCGCCGCGGUAACACCGGCGGCCCGAGUGGUGAUCGUGAUUAUUGGGUCUAAAGGGUCCGUAGCCGGUUUGGUCAGUCCUCCGGGAAAUCUGAUAGCUCAACUGUUAGGCUUUCGGGGGAUACUGCCAGACUUGGAACCGGGAGAGGUAAGAGGUACUACGGGGGUAGGAGUGAAAUCUUGUAAUCCCUGUGGGACCACCUGUGGCGAAGGCGUCUUACCAGAACGGGUUCGACGGUGAGGGACGAAAGCUGGGGGCACGAACCGGAUUAGAUACCCGGGUAGUCCCAGCCGUAAACGAUGCUCGCUAGGUGUCAGGCAUGGCGCGACCGUGUCUGGUGCCGCAGGGAAGCCGUGAAGCGAGCCACCUGGGAAGUACGGCCGCAAGGCUGAAACUUAAAGGAAUUGGCGGGGGAGCAC
rnacentral:rRNA from 1 species